CGCGCAGUCUUCAUCAAAACACCACUGAGUGUGGCUUGAAUUCGCCAAAAUGACGACGAGAAGACCCCUAAACAAGCCAAUCAAGCUAGAGCAAUAUGACUUAUCUGAUGAACCUGAGAUCCAGGAAAAUGAGAAAGAAGAGGAGAUUGUAGAAGAGACCAAGUUUAAGAGCAAAAGAAGAAAACAAGAAAAUGCGUCACCAUAUCAUCCCCGCAGAUUCGUUACUAGAUGGCUAACAAUACCAGAAAUUAGAGGAUGGAUACACCCAUUACGUUCUGAUCCCGCUCAUGUGUGGUGCAAAUUUUGUAGAAAGAAAAUUCGGGCACAUUUAAGUGAUAUGAAAGUUCAUACUAAAACAAGAAAGCACCAGAAGAACAUGAAACUUGUCCUUCCUGAACUUCCUACAGAGGCUGGCAUGGAGAUAGACCACAAAGAAGUUGUUAUCAGUUUCCCUUCAUCAAAGCUUUACCACGAAGACCUUAUAGUUGUGUCUGAAGAUGGAACAGCAACGAGCACAACAAACCCUGCUGUGCCUGGCAAGGAAGUUUUGAACCCAGCAAAUAUUGGGUUUAUUGGAUGUGGUAACAUGGCCCAGGCGCUUCUCAAUGCAUUUAUCAGAAAAGGGUUGAUAGAUCCUUCCCAUGUAAUGGCAAGUGCACCUUCUGACCGCAACCUAACUAAACUUCGCUCUCUAGGGGUGAAGACAACUCAUGACAACAAUGAAGUUGUGAAGCAUAGUGACGUGAUUUUCCUGUGUGUAAAACCUCACCAUCUAACAGAUAUGAUAGGUGACUUGAAUGCAUUGGAAAGAAGCCACAAUCCACUUUUUGUUUCCAUUAUUACAGGAUUUGACAUCAAAACCUUAGAGGAGAUGCUUACUGCCUUGAUAGAUUACCCUCGUGUGAUACGCUUAAUGCCUAAUACCCCAUCAAUGGUUGGACAAGGAUGCUGUGUGUACACCCUUGGAAGCCAUACACCAGAAGCAUAUAAUGAAGUCAUGAAUUCCAUGCUCAGUUCUAUAGGAUUAAGUGCAGAGAUUCCUGAGUACCAGAUGGAUGCUGCUUGUGGUUUGGCAGGAUCAGGACCAGCUUAUAUAUAUGCAGCUAUAGAAGCUCUAGCAGAUGGUGGGGUUAAAAUGGGUCUUCCUCGGCAGUUGGCUCAGACCUUGGCUGCUCAGAUGGUUAAGGGAGCAGCAACAAUGGUUCUUGAAAGUGGAAAGCAUCCAGGUCAGUUAAAGGAUGAGGUCUGCUCUCCAGGAGGCACUACUAUUGCAGCCAUGCACAGCCUAGAGAAAAAUGGCCUUCGGAAUGCUCUCAUAUCAGCAGUGGAAGCAUCAGCACUACGCUCAAAAGAAUUAGGCACCAAGAAGUGAAAAAUCAUGUGGAUAACCAGUGAAAUCCUACAGCAGUGGAAGCUUGUAGAGCUCUUCGUGACAGUCUCAUCUGACCUGAUGCUGGAUCACGUCCAAAAUACUUUACCUUAACCUGUUGUCCAACUUCAAGACCAAGUGCACUGGGAUGGUGUACCUGUUGACAAAGUUUUACUUAUUACAGCGUGUGACUAAACCAAUCGCUAUCCCAGCUGCUGGUGAAGAUAUGUUAACACCAGCAUCCAUCAAGGCCAAGCUACCACCACAUACAGUUGCCAUGGAAGAGGACCCUGGAGAAUACAGUUGGUGCAAGCUCCCUGCGAAGAUAAUUGGAAGGAAUGCGUCCUGCAGCAGCAUAUUUUUGACGAUAGUCUACUGUGAGAGGCAUAAAUCCUGGGGAGGGACCAGUGCGGCCUUUGCUCACAGCAGUAAUAAGGACUGAGGUAUCACCUAUGGUAGCCACAGCAGCACCAUCUGCUAAGCGAGCAUACUCUCCAGUUUCAAGGUGUAUUGUCCGCCUGUAAAAAUGUAAAUACAGGGUAUCGGUAUAUUAACAGAUAUUUUUUCAUACACACAACAAGCCUUUUCCUGUUAUCAUGCUAGGAGACAAGAGAUGAUGACUUAAUGUUUAAUACAUUCAGUGCCUCAUGGGUUACCCCAUCCUUUGGCAAGAUACUAUUUCACCGCCAGUAAGCGCACCAUAUUGUGCAGACAUUUUGUCAAUAAGUGCGUGAUGGAUACAAAAAAAGAAAGAAACCAAAUUUUACAUUCAAGGCAAAUGCUCUGCUGCUAAAGAAAUACCAAUAAUGGUGUUUAUUAUAAGUGUGUUUUUUUUGUACUAUAAUAAAUUUCAUAAGAAAAUUGCAUAAACUGCUGUAUACUGUACACAGCCAGUUUUCUACUCAAUAGAUAUUUACUGUCAUGUUGCUUUUCUGCGACAACAAAUUAAGGAAUACAUUUCUGGCAAAAAGGCAAUAUUAAUUUCUAUUUUCUUUUUACAUAAAAUAAUUUAUACAUACCUAACAAUAAAUACCAAGUAGUUGAUCUUAUGUAACAUCAUUUCCCAUCAUAACUUGCAAUAUGCUGAUGGAUUGAGAUGAAGAAAUCUUUGGGUGUGUGAGGGAAUGAGCCAUGGGUGUGGGAGGAAAAGAGCAGCAGCAGGUGUGUGUGUGUGAGAAAGAUUGAAAGGUGGUGUGUGAUGGAGGGAACAAGUAAAAUAAUAUAUUUUCUGAAAUUCAAAGUUGGGUGCAAAUAACCAAUAAAUUUCUGAAGCAAAAGAUUGUAGCCCUGUUCUUCCAAAAUCCAUUCAAACAAAACUAUCAGCCAUAAUGUAUUGCAAAAUUCUGAAAAAAAACAAGGAAUAUAACACUAGAAUGAAUAAUAUCAAGAUCAGUACUACUGUAGUUCAUCCUUUGGAAUUUCACUUUACCAUACCUUAGAUAAAGCACCGGUAUAUACUGUAACAACUAUCAAUAUCCCUACAAAACAUCACUGAGGAGAACUUGAAAAAAAAAUUAUAUUUCCUUCUACAGUAUUCUAAUAUGUACAAUGAUUUAAACUUUUGUGCAAUCGUUUAGCAGUUGACUCAUGAAUCUGUGAAGCAUGUAUUGUUCAGUUGGUUCAGUUCACAGUGGUAUGGUUUGUUAUUGAUUGCAUCCAAUGUACUCUAAUAAAUAAAUUGUGUACCUUGGUUGUGAUCAGUGCAUAAGUCGGAUACUGUAUUGUAAAAUUGCUAUGUACAGUACUUGUUAUAUUGACCCAAUAAAGAUUUAACUGUUUA
rnacentral:misc_RNA from 1 species